GUAACAUGUCAAUUUGAUUUUCAACUGUUGUUUCUUGAUGCAAAUUGACUAAAUGUUGGCAUUUGUUUCUAUUUUGAGAUCAACCUGAAAAAUCAGGGGCCGAUUUUGUCGCGAGGGCGAUCUGAAAAUCAUUAAUGUUUCUCGUAAUAACAGAAUUAUAAAGGAUCCGAGAUCCAGGAUAAAUGAUGUCAAUCAAGCUGUUGGAGUUUGUCCCAUUGGGGUAGCAAUUAUCUAAAUGCAAGUGUGAAUGCUAAAGAAAGUGCUAGUCAGAUCGUCUGUAAUGGUUAAGGUACCAUGCUAACGAAAGCAACCUGAACAGAACUUGAACAAUGAGAAUCUUCAAGACAAUUAUGAAAUAAUAAUGGCUAGUCUAAGCUUUCUACUUACAGCUGGAAGAUGUUUGGAUGACACUACUAUUAGAACCAGUCUACCAUGUGUAUCGACUUGUUCUGCUUGACUCUUCGUUCUAAAAAAUGUUAAAUGUAAACAAACUCCAUUGACAUGCAAGGAGAGAGAAUUAUAA